AGUUUCAAGAAGUAAGAUCUUUUCUUUUCUCCCAUUUCUACCGAGUUGCACCCUCCUUAAAGUCUAAUAACUUUACUUCAAGAGCAAGACCAAGAGGGGACAAGUUGGCCAGAGAUAGUUUUAGACCACUUAUAGAAGCUUAAGGACGUGGUUUGAAGCUAUGGAAGGCUAGCAUUAAGGUAAAAAGCCUACUACUCAUUGAUGGACUUCACAAGGGAGUAUGUGUAUGGUGGAGGGUUGGGCUUGGAUACCACCAUGCUAUAAAUUCUGUAAAUAAUAAAUAUGGC